rnacentral:rRNA from 1 species
CCUACGGGUGGCAGCAGUGAGGAAUAUUGGUCAAUGGGCGGAAGCCUGAACCAGCCAAGUCGCGUGAGGGAAUAAGGUCCUACGGAUUGUAAACCUCUUUUGCCGGGGAGCAAAAAGCGGUACGUGUACCGCAUCGAGAAGUCCCGGGGGAAAAAGAUCGGCUAACUCCGUGCCAACAGCCGCGGUAAUACGGAGGAUGCGAGCGGUAUCCGGAUUUAUUGGGUUUAAAGGGUGCGUAGGCGGGGUGUUAAGUCAGCGGUAAAAGUUCGGGGCUCAACCCCGUCGAGCCGUUGAAACUGGGGUGCUAGAGUGGGCGAGAAGAAUGCGGAAUGCGUGGUGUAGCGGUGAAAUGCAUAGAUAUCACGCAGAACCCCGAUUGCGAAGGCAGCAUACCGGCGCCCAACUGACGCUCAGGCACGAAAGCGCGGGUAUCGAACAGGAUUAGAUACCCUGGUAGUC